GACUUACCAACCCGAUGCAAACUGCGAAUACCGGAGAAUGUUAUCACGGGAGACACACGGCGGGUGCUAACGUCCGUCGUGAAGAGGGAAACAACCCAGACCGCCAGCUAAGGUCCCAAAGUCAUGGUUAAGUGGGAAACGAUGUGGGAAGGCCCAGACAGCCAGGAUGUUGGCUUAGAAGCAGCCAUCAUUUAAAGAAAGCGUAAUAGCUCACUGGUCGAGUCGGCCUGCGCGGAAGAUGUAACGGGGCUAAACCAUGCACCGAAGCUGCGGCAGCGACGCUGAUGCGUUGUUGGGUAGGGGAGCGUUCUGUAAGCCUGUGAAGGUGUGCUGUGAGGCAUGCUGGAGGUAUCAGAAGUGCGAAUGCUGACAUAAGUAACGAUAAAGCGGGUGAAAAGCCCGCUCGCCGGAAGACCAAGGGUUCCUGUCCAACGUUAAUCGGGGCAGGGUGAGUCGACCCCUAAGGCGAGGCCGAAAGGCGUAGUCGAUGGGAAACAGGUUAAUAUUCCUGUACUUGGUGUUACUGCGAAGGGGGGACGGAGAAGGCUAUGUUGGCCGGGCGACGGUUGUCCCGGUUUAAGCGUGUAGGCUGGUUUUCCAGGCAAAUCCGGAAAAUCAAGGCUGAGGCGUGAUGACGAGGCACUACGGUGCUGAAGCAACAAAUGCCCUGCUUCCAGGAAAAGCCUCUAAGCAUCAGGUAACAUCAAAUCGUACCCCAAACCGACACAGGUGGUCAGGUAGAGAAUACCAAGGCGCUUGAGAGAACUCGGGUGAAGGAACUAGGCAAAAUGGUGCCGUAACUUCGGGAGAAGG
rnacentral:rRNA from 1 species